rnacentral:rRNA from 1 species
UCCUGGCUCAGGACGAACGCUGGCGGCGUGCUUAACACAUGCAAGUCGAACGAUGAACCACUUCGGUGGGGAUUAGUGGCGAACGGGUGAGUAACACGUGGGCAAUCUGCCCUUCACUCUGGGACAAGCCCUGGAAACGGGGUCUAAUACCGGAUAGCACUACCGCAGGCAUCUGUGGUGGUUGAAAGCUCCGGCGGUGAAGGAUGAGCCCGCGGCCUAUCAGCUUGUUGGUGAGGUAAUGGCUCACCAAGGCGACGACGGGUAGCCGGCCUGAGAGGGCGACCGGCCACACUGGGACUGAGACACGGCCCAGACUCCUACGGGAGGCAGCAGUGGGGAAUAUUGCACAAUGGGCGAAAGCCUGAUGCAGCGACGCCGCGUGAGGGAUGACGGCCUUCGGGUUGUAAACCUCUUUCAGCAGGGAAGAAGCGAAAGUGACGGUACCUGCAGAAGAAGCGCCGGCUAACUACGUGCCAGCAGCCGCGGUAAUACGUAGGGCGCAAGCGUUGUCCGGAAUUAUUGGGCGUAAAGAGCUCGUAGGCGGCUUGUCACGUCGGGUGUGAAAGCCCGGGGCUUAACCCCGGGUCUGCAUUCGAUACGGGCUAGCUAGAGUGUGGUAGGGGAGAUCGGAAUUCCUGGUGUAGCGGUGAAAUGCGCAGAUAUCAGGAGGAACACCGGUGGCGAAGGCGGAUCUCUGGGCCAUUACUGACGCUGAGGAGCGAAAGCGU